GUACAUGCCUACAACAUACCGUUAUUGCAUCGGAUCCCAUUAGAACUCCACAGUUAAUAACGCUCGGUCUAGAGUAGUACUGGGAUGGGUGACUGCCCGGGAAGUCCUAGUAUGUUACAUGCU
rnacentral:rRNA from 1 species